rnacentral:rRNA from 1 species
UACGUAGGGGGCAAGCGUUGUCCGGAAUUAUUGGGCGUAAAGAGCGUGUAGGCGGCCAGAUAAGUCCGCUGUGAAAUCUCGAGGCUCAACUUCGAGCUGUCGGUGGAAACUGUCUGGCUAGAGUCCGGAAGAGGAGAAUGGAAUUCCUGGUGUAGCGGUGAAAUGCGCAGAUAUCAGGAAGAACACCCGUGGCGAAGGCGGUUCUCUGGGACGGUACUGACGCUGAGACGCGAAAGCGUGGGGGAGC